GAACGUGGAAGGCAUCUUCAUAAAAAAAUCGAAGGAAUCGUUGUAAUUUUCACAUGAAGUUCGCUUUGAGAGUCGCAAUUAAAUGAUUGCGUCAAUCUUUACUCUUCUCGUGGGUGGAACAUUAUUACUGUUUCCAAUUUUCUCAAUCUAUGCUGUUUUUAGGUUUAUUACUGUAGUCCAUGAGAAUUGAGGACGCAUGAUAACUCAAGAUUUUAUGCUUCUUAUUUCUUUAAAUGCUUUUAAUUUCUUUGUUAAAUGUUCAGACUUUGUAUUAGAUAAUGUUAUAACUUAUUUAUGCUUAGUGUUUUUGU
rnacentral:lncRNA from 1 species